rnacentral:rRNA from 1 species
UACGGAGGGUGCAAGCGUUGUUCGGAAUUAUUGGGCGUAAAGGGCGCGUAGGCGGUGCGGUAAGUCCGCAGUGAAAUCUCUGGGCUCAACUCAGAGUCUGCUGUGGAAACUGCCGUGCUAGAGUGUGGGAGAGGUGAGUGGAAUUCCCGGUGUAGCGGUGAAAUGCGUAGAUAUCUGCAGGAACACCCGUGGCGAAAGCGGCGCGCUGGACCGUUACUGACGCUGAGGCACGAAAGCUAGGGGAGCAAACAGG